ensembl:lncRNA
GAUUAUUUCAAUAUUUUUGUAAUAAAAUAUAUAGGGUAUGCAUAUAGGCAUUAUCACCUUUUUUAUAGACCUGGAAUUAUUUAAAAUACUUUAAGCAUCAAAAUUACUUGGGAUGUCAGAAACUGGUCCACAAAUCCAUCAGCCUGCCUCAGCAGAAUGAAAAUACUUGUCUCUUGCAAGAUCACCCUACCUUGCAAGUUGGUGCCCCCAGGAACCUGGCCAGGGGUGCUAUCAGAAUAUCAAGUGAAGAGAGAAGCAGCCUGAAUAGAAAGGGCUUGUCAAGACUGGCCAAUGUUUUCCAGGAAAUCAAAGAUGUAAAUGAUUGAUUUCAUCCAUCAAUUGUAACAAACCUGACCACAGUGGAAGGUGUCUUAAAUUUCCUUCCCUGGUUUUAUAUUAACCAAACUGAUACAUUAAAGAUUAGUCAAAUCACUUUAAAGAAAGGAAGGGGUCAGUUUAACUUAAUUAUUCACUUAUCUGGGUUGUCCAAGUCACUAUAAAUAGUCAAGUUCUAGGGCCACUACCUGUAAUGUGUGUGUCAUCCAGAGACUGCCAUCCCCAUGAUGACAUCCACCGAAAAUGACAGAGGGCUCAAUCUAGGACUUCUUUUGGUACAAAGCCCCAGAACAAUUUUUAAAAGAUAGACAAUUUUUAUCAGUAGACAUAUUUCCUAAUACUCCAUGAUUUGAUCCUCCAAGCAAGAAUUCCACUAAAAAAGAUUAAUCAUUUGGUGGGAUAUGGAAAGAUUACCUAGUCACCAGUAAAGCUCCAAGAGGACACUCUUCUUGUCAGCAUAUUGUGCAACAUUCCACCCCCAUUGUGGAAGGAAAAAAUGAUCAUUUUUGACAAAGUCUUCACUUCUGUGCAGAACCAUGUUAUUAGCUUCAUUAGUUCCAAGACAACUUUUAACUAAUCUUUGGAAAUUGAAUUUCUCAGUUGAACUAAACCUAUGAAACCAUGAGUAAAUAACAGAUUACAGUACAAUGAUGUCAAGCAACACAAGUACACCAGUCCCCUUCGCUCUCCAAUCAUGGGAAUGCAGCUAAGAGUUUGCCUUAAAUCUCAGAGAAGACAUUGGACUUGAACUUUCAGCAAUGUUGAAACUGGUAGGACUUUGGCAACUUUUAGAGAUGAACUAAAUGCCUUUUGCAUAAAGAGAUAUGCUUGAGUCUUUGGAGGGCCAUGGGUGGAAUGUUAUGUCUUGUUUUUAGAUGUCCACCCAAAGCCUCAAGCCAUUGAGGUGGGACUAUUUCAGAGAGCACUAGGAUUAAGGGUGUCAGUGCUACCCACCCUAAGACAUCUGAAUAAGAUAAAAGGGGCCAGAAGAUGUUGUUAAGGUCUCUUGUUGCUUU